rnacentral:lncRNA from 1 species
GUGUGUUCGAGAAGGAGCCAGGAACUCCUUGAAGGUUCAUAAACCCUAAUCAUGAAGAUCACCAAAUUGAGGGGUUAAUUGUAGCUCAAAUUCAAGAAGGAACAUGGACUAAUGAUCACCUAAGUAUUUCCUACAUCAAAAUUGGAAUCACACGAGCAUGGGCCAAGCACGAAGGCUAACGGGUCAAGAUGAGGCAAGGAAGCGGUUACGAGCACGGAUGCACAAGUUAUGUGCAACUUAA